UACGGGGGGAGCAAGCGUUGUUCGGAUUUACUGGGCGUAAAGGGCGCGUAGGCGGUCGUGACAAGUCACUUGUGAAAUCUCCGGGCUUAACUCGGAACGGUCAAGUGAUACUGUCGGACUAGAGUGCAGAAGGGGCAACUGGAAUUCUCGGUGUAGCGGUGAAAUGCGUAGAUAUCGAGAGGAACACCUGCGGCGAAGGCGGUUCUCUGGGCAUGAUCUGACGCUGAGGAGCGAAAGUGUGGGGAGCGAACAGG
rnacentral:rRNA from 1 species